rnacentral:lncRNA from 1 species
UUUCUUGUUGUACUCUUCAUUUUGAAGAGAGACCAGUGUUGACAUUUAAUCAAGUUUUAAUUUUCUAAGCUCACUAUAAGAUAGCUCACCAAGGCCCAAAUACUGUCCGCCUAGCCAUGCAUGGGCUCCGCUCAGCCCACGUCGUUUAAGAAUUCAAGUCUUUGUUUAUUUUGAAUUUUUUAAAGAUGGGACCUCUUAACCCGCUAGGGCCCAUUACGACUUGACCGCCUAGCCAUGCAUGGGCUCCGCUUAGCCCACAUCGUCUGUAAAGUCCGUUUUUGUUUUUUUGUUUUUUUAAAGGUGGGACCUCCUAGACUACGAAGGUCCAUUACGACUUGACCGCCUAGCCAUGCAUGGGCUCCACCUAGCCCACGUAUUUUAACAAGUGGUAAAUUUGAUUUACUAUUAUGUAUUUUACUCAGGGGUAAUAUUGUCAGUAUAUUCGAGCUAUCUAUGACACACUGCU